UCCAACUUUUACAUAGCUAGUAGUUCGCUCCUACGAUUCAGUGUCGGUUCAUAACAUUGUACUAUAUUACAUAGAUACAUACAUACCGUAGAGUGAUAAAUAAUGCCAUUAUUAUUACUAUUAUUAUCAUGCUAACCAAAAGCAUUUAGCUACGAACGACUGUUCUCGCCAUUUUCAGUUGAAUUGAUCUAACUUUCUUUCAUGGCAACUCAUAAGCAGACCAUGUCGUAUUUGUUUCAUAGUCGAUAUAUAAUCAUAUUUCAUGUCAGUGUAACGGUUAGCUUUGUUUACAGAAGGAUGAAAGAACACUAUGUCUGUCAGGGAAUGCUAAUCUGAUAUGUGAGAUGAAGAGUUAGAACAGAAAGUCAGCGCCAUUAAGGCAAGGAUGCCCCCAUGCGGGCUUUAGAAUGGUCAAAGGACGUCUCAGAGUAACGGGUCAUCGUGUAGGGAGUCUUUGCAGCGGGUAUCAUUGCCAGAAUGAUCCAGCUGUUCCUGCUCCCCUGUCUCUCGUCCACAUGAAUAUACAUUGAUAAAGUACUAAGCUGUAUAAUGUCUCCAUCAAAUCUAAGAAGUUAUUUUAACAUUUUUAAUUCUUAUUCCUAGACACGUUUUCAAUGAUGUAUGAAAUUGGAGUUGUUCUUCAUCAACUGGUAAUACGUAAAUAAUGAAGCAGGUUAAUAGGUUAAACAUUUCACUUUUAUUUCCAAUGCUUUUUUCCAAGAUACAACAGGUAAGUAUAUUAUUUUGUAUACAAACUGCAUAUUUCCCAUCACCUAAUGAACAACCACAAUACCAGUCUGGUGUUAAGCUUUCUGUGCUGUAUUGGCGUAUCCUGAAAAUGACAUCUGCUUUAGAUUGAACGGCCAUAUCUCAGUUAUCUACAAAAAAUAAGCUAUUGUCUUUACUUUCAGAGUGCGGGCUGAUCAAGGGGUGGAAAAUGUAGAUAUUGCAUUGUCCGAGGAACAGGCCGUGGAAGCUAUAUUGCUGGCAAAAGUGUCCAUAACCAGAGUUUUGGAGGAAGAAGGAUACCUUGACCUGUCGAAUUCUAUCCACUUCUUCUGUGUGGGAUAUGUGUUCCUAUCUCGUCUGCGGGCAGAUCUGCAGCAUUUCACACGACCAUUCCUAUACAUGAAGUGUGGUGCAGUGGCCUCAGGGAGAAGAUAGCCUACACCUACAGUAGAUGGAGAUGUUUACCGACCACCGACAAAGAUCUGACCUACGCACCCAACAUAGCCACUCCCAUUCCAUAUAGCCCAAGACCUGAAAGGAAUGCUGUGGUCUACUCUUGUCUUGAGUCUGUGGGAACUCCCCACUAAGGAGGAACUAUGGGAAGAAUUUCAGUUCAGCCUCAGUGAGAUGAAAACCUGCUCCAGAACGCUCAGGACCUCAGAUCUUCCAACAGGACAACGACCCUAA